rnacentral:rRNA from 1 species
AAUGAACGUUGGCGGCGUGGAUUAGGCAUGCAAGUCGAGCGAGAACCCCGCAAGGGGGGACAGCGGCGAAAGGGACAGUAAUGUGUAGAUUAUCUGCCCUCAGGUCCGGGAUAGCUGCGGGAAACUGCAGGUAAUACCGGAUAACAUCUCCGGAUCAAAGGUGUGAUUCCGCCUGAGGAUGAGUCUGCAUCCUAUUAGCUAGUUGGUAGGGUAAUGGCCUACCAAGGCAUUGAUGGGUAGCAGGUGUGAGAGCACGACCUGCGUCAUUGGGACUGAGACACUGCCCAGACACCUACGGGUGGCUGCAGUCGAGAAUCUUCGGCAAUGGGCGCAAGCCUGACCGAGCGACGCCGCGUGUGGGAUGAAGGCCUUCGGGUUGUAAACCACUGUCAGAGGGGAUGAAAUGCAGGUGGGUUCUCCCAUCUGUUUGACAUAGCCUCAGAGGAAGGACGGGCUAAGUUCGUG